rnacentral:rRNA from 1 species
GGGAUUGCCUUAGUAACGGCGAGUGAAGCGGCAACAGCUCAAAUUUGAAAUCUGGCUCCUUCGGGGUCCGAAUUGUAAUUUGUAGAGAGUGCUUCGGGCGAGGCCUCGGUCUAAGUCCAUUGGAACAUGGUGUCAUAGAGGGUGAGAAUCCCGUAUGCGACCGUGGCUCGAGCCCAUGUGAAGCCUCUUCGACGAGUCGAGUUGUUUGGGAAUGCAGCUCAAAAUGGGUGGUAAAUUUCAUCUAAAGCUAAAUACUGGCUGGAGACCGAUAGCGCACAAGUAGAGUGAUCGAAAGAUGAAAAGCACUUUGGAAAGAGAGUCAAACAGUACGUGAAAUUGUUGAAAGGGAAGCGCUUGCAACCAGACCUGCCCGUAGGCGAUCAGCCGCUGUUUUCAGCGGUGCACUCGCUCUGCGAUCAGGCCAGCAUCGGUUUCGGCGGUCGGAUAAAGGCCUUGGGAAUGUAGCUCCCCUCCGGGGGAGUCUUAUAGCCCUUGGUGCAAUGCGGCCAGCCGGGACCGAGGACCGCGCUUCGGCUAGGAUGCUGGCGUAAUGGUUGUAA